AAUGAACGCUGGCGGCGCGCCUAAUACAUGCAAGUCGAGCGAGAAGACGUAGCAAUACGUUUGUAAAGCGGCGAACGGGUGAGGAAUACAUGGGUAACCUACCCUAGAGUGGGGAAUAACUAGCCGAAAGGUUAGCUAAUACCGCGUACGCUCCUUGGACUUCGGUUCAGGGAGGAAAGCGAUGCCGAGGGUAUCGCGCUCUUGGAUGGGCUCAUGUCCUAUCAGCUUGNGGUGAGGUAACGGCUCACCAAGGCUUCGACGGGUAGCUGGUCUGAGAGGACGAUCAGCCACACUGGCACUGCGACACGGGCCAGACUCCUACGGGAGGCAGCAGUAAGGAAUAUUGCGCAAUGGGCGAAAGCCUGACGCAGCGACGCCGCGUGGGGGAUGAAGGU
rnacentral:rRNA from 1 species